rnacentral:rRNA from 1 species
GACGAACGCUGGCGGCGUGCUUAACACAUGCAAGUCGAACGGAAAGGCCCUGCUUGCAGGGUACUCGAGUGGCGAACGGGUGAGUAACACGUGGGUGAUCUGCCCUGCACUUCGGGAUAAGCCUGGGGAACUGGGUCUAAUACCGGGUAGGAGCCAUCUUUAGUGUGAUGGUUGGAAAGUUUUUUCGGUGUAGGAUGAGCGCGCGGCCUGUCUGCUGGUUGGUGGGGUAAUGGGCUACCAAGGCGGCGACGGGUAGCCGGCCUGGGAGGGUGGACGGCCACAGUGGGAAUGAGAGACGGCCCAGACUCCUACGGGAGGCAGCAGUGGGGGAGAGUGCACAAAGGGCGCAAGCCCGAUGCAGCGACGCCGCGUGGGGGAUGAAGGCCUUCGGGUUGGAAACUCCUUUCGCUAGGGGAGAAGCUUUUUGUGACGUUACUGAGAUAAGAAGCACCGGCUAACUACGUG